rnacentral:rRNA from 1 species
AAUGAACGCUGGCGGCAGGCCUAACACGUGCAAGUCGAACGGAUCCUUCGGGAUUAGUGGCGGACGGGUGAGUAACGCGUGGGAACAUACCCUUUGGUACGGAAUAGCCUCGGGAAACUGGGAGUAAUACCGUAUGUGGUCGAGAGACGAAAGAUUUAUCGCCAAAGGAUUGGCCCGCGUUGGAUUAGGUAGUUGGUGGGGUAAUGGCCUACCAAGCCGACGAUCCAUAGCUGGUUUGAGAGGAUGAUCAGCCACACUGGGACUGAGACACGGCGCAGACUCCUACGGGAUGCAGCAGUGGGGAAUCUUAGACAAUGGGGGAAACCCUGAUCUAGCCAUGCCGCGUGAUCGAUGAAGGCCUUAGGGUUGUAAAGAUCUUUCAGGUGGGAAGAUAAUGACUGUACCACCAGAAGAAGCCCCGGCUAACUCCGUGCCAGCCGCCGCAGUAA